AUUGAACGCUGGCGGCAGGCCUAACACAUGCAAGUCGAGCGAGCGGCGGACGGGAGAGAAAUGUAUGGGGCUUUGCUCGAUAGCGGGGGAUAACUCCUGGAACCGGAGGCAAAUACCGCAUACUAGCCGAUGAACCCAUGUGGGGUUAGCUAGUAGGUAGGGUAAAGGCUAACCUAGGCCACGAGCCAUAGCUGGUCUGAGAGGAUGAUCGGCCACACUGGAACUGAGACACGGCCCAGACUCCUACGGGAGGCAGCAGUGGGGAAUAUUGCACAAUGGGCGCAAGCCUGAUGCAGCCAUGCCGCGUGUAUGAAGAAGGCCUUCGGAUUGUAAAGUACUUUCAGCGGGGAGGCGUUACCUGCAGAGAAAGCCCCGGCUAACUCCGUGCCAGCAGCCGCGGUAAUUC
rnacentral:rRNA from 1 species